rnacentral:rRNA from 1 species
UGGGGAAUAUUGCACAAUGGGCGCAAGCCUGAUGCAGCCAUGCCGCGUGUGUGAAGAAGGCCUUCGGGUUGUAAAGCACUUUCAGCGAGGAGGAAGGUGGUGAGCUUAAUACGCUCAUCAAUUGACGUUACUCGCAGAAGAAGCACCGGCUAACUCCGUGCCAGCAGCCGCGGUAAUACGGAGGGUGCAAGCGUUAAUCGGAAUUACUGGGCGUAAAGCGCACGCAGGCGGUUUGUUAAGUCAGAUGUGAAAUCCCCGGGCUCAACCUGGGAACUGCAUUUGAAACUGGCAAGCUAGAGUCUCGUAGAGGGGGGUAGAAUUCCAGGUGUAGCGGUGAAAUGCGUAGAGAUCUGGAGGAAUACCGGUGGCGAAGGCGGCCCCCUGGACGAAGACUGACGCUCAGGUGCGAAAGCGUGGGGCAGCAAACAGGAUUAGAUACCCUGGUAGUCCAGCGCUGUAAACGAUGUCGAUUUUGGAGGUUGUGCCCUUGAGGCGUGGCUUCCGGAGCUAACGCGUUAAAUCGACCGCCUGGGGAGUACGGCCGCAAGGUUAAAACUCAAAUGAAUU